UUUUUUUCUUUUUUUUAAGGGCCGCACCUGCAGCAUGUGGAAGUUCCCAGGCUAGGGGUUGAAUCAGAGCUACAGCUGCCAGUGUAUACCAUAGCCACGCCAGAUCUGAGCCACAUCUGCAACCUACACCACAACUUUGGCAACGCCAGAUCCUUAAGCCACUGAGCAAGGCCAGGGAUCGAACCCGCAUCUUCAUGGUUCCUAGUAGGAUUUGUUAACCACUAAUCCACGAAGGGAACUCCCAGCUACACCUUCUGAAACCAUUACAAACCCUCUCGGUCUAACAAAGACCAGUCACUAUUUCACUGAAAGUGCUUCCUCCUAACUAUCAAGCCUUCUCUCCAGGUUCUCUCUGACACAAACGUCUCCUUGCCAAACAUGACGUGAAGGUGAGAGACCCUCCUCUCGUGGGCCCCCCAAAUCACCUGGAACUGGUAAUUGGAGGCAGCCGUGACAAACAUGAAAAUAAAUAGUGUACUUCUGGUGAACAAGGAGAUUAAGAGAGGGUAGAGGGAAAAGGUGGAGAGAAUGCAAAACAAGAGAAUGAAAGAAAAGCAAAUGAAUUAAGUAAUUUUAAAAAAAGAAGUAUUUGUUCUCUCUCAACAUCUAAGGAAAGGAGGGAGGAAGGGAGAGAGGAAGGAAGGAAAGAAGGAAAUGAAGCACUAAAAAUGAAGUACUAUCCUAAAAGUCAACUCUAGUUAAUAAUAAAAUCCAGGGUGAGUGUCUUAAUGCUUGAGUGAGGUGGCAGACAAGCUUUUUGAUAUAACUAACUCAAGUGGAUUCACCAUGAAGCUAAUGAUGCUUAAGCAGCAAGGACUCUCACUUGCAGAGACCCUUUCAAAGGCCUGAGAAGAGCCCUAAUAUUUUUCGUAUGGUCACAUCUCCACAAAAUUUGCAUGCACACAUUAACACACACACAAAGAUACUAUAAUCAGAAUCUUUUUAAGACUAUCUUUUUUCCAUUCUGGCUUCCGCCUUAGUAGAUCUGUAUGGAAGUGGGACAGGGUAUAUUUUAAGAAUGUGGCUAAGGAGGAGUCAGGAAUACACUUACUUUGGGGUUUCGUGGAAUAUAUCUAUGAGGUUCACGGUCACCUCUGUGUAUUGUUAUGUCAUUGCUAGCUACCAUCACAGUGUAAAAAGGACUUCCAGGCACAACACUGACUCAGUGUCAUGACAUGAAGAGGUGAGACCAGCGGGCACAUGAUAAGAAUAUGUCCCAUGGCAUUCAGUACAAGAAUUAUGUGGGCACUAGAAGAGAACCAGGGUUUAAACUGUACAGAGGUCUAUGGAGAAAAAUCUUCCAACCCUCAGACAGGUCAAGUCAGAAGCUGAGGAUUCGCUCCUCAUCAACAUCUAGUCAAAGUUCUCCUACCAUGAAUACACUUGAUAAUGAAACAGAUAAGAUGAGAAAUGAACCACACUUUUUUUUUAUCUUUUUAGGGCUGCACUUGAGGCAUAUGGAAGUUCCCAGGUGUAGUCCCUUUAAAAAGACAAAAAAAAAAAGGAAAAAAUUCUGGUAUGUAUAGACCCAAAACUAUGGCAGUUGAGUGCAACUGUAUGCGAAAUUGCUUGUUUUAUGUAUUCCAGUGAGAAAUAUUUUAAAAAUACAUUUUAAUAAACUACGCUAAAAGAGAGAUGAAAGUAUUUUUCCCUUCUCUAUAUAGAAAAUAUUACAAAAUUGUCAUGUGAAGAGGUAAUCAAAGAGUAUGCCACCUAAAAUGUAGGCGCAGAAGUAUUAUAAUAUAAAGCUAUGUCCAUAAUGUGUUUGUUACUAAGCUGCCUGUUGCUCUGUAUGGUAUGAAUCUUUGAUUAACUAUCGCUUUAAAAAAAAAGAAAUCUGGGAGUUCCCGCCGUCGCUCAGUGGUUAACAAAUCUGACUAGGAAUCAUGAGGUUGCGGGUUUGAUCCC
rnacentral:lncRNA from 1 species